UGAGCGCCCGCCUCUGGAGGACAUGCGCCGGGGACUCGACACGUGAUCCGCUCGCCACAAUCCAGUAUGGCGGAAUCCGUCGGCGAGUGGAUCCGUCUUUGGCGCGCUCUCCAACGGGAAUAAAGUCCGGAGCGGUGCGUCCGAUCGCGGUGGAGCUGCGGAGAGUUCAUUCUUAUCGAGCGAAGAGGAACCGACACACACAGCUGGAUUUCGGCCAGAGGGGGCGCUAUGGGCCUCUGAGAUCGUCCUUUCUUUCCUGUCCCGCGUCUCUUUUGACUCGUCUUCCCAUUCAACAGUGGAUGGUGACCAGCCAACAAGCCCCAGAGGAGCCGUGAGGUGUUUCUCACAUCCUCAUCUGCCAGGACACACUCCUCUUAUUAUCAAGCCAUUCACUUCAGAGAAAGCCGCCACCGUCGCCACAAUGAGUUCCCACAGCCGCCCAGAUGGACUUCCCAGUAAAGAACAGCCACUGAAACUUCUGAAGCCAUCUGGAGUCAAUCACAUUCCUCCUGUUGAUGUGAGUGCGGUGCUGCCACUGCAAGUGCCGCCUUCUGCCAUCCCCAUGGACCUGCGUGUGGAUCACCAGUUCGCCCUGGCGCCGACGGACCCGGCCCAGCGCGAGCAGCAGCUGCAGCAGGAGCUUCUGGCCCUCAAGCAGAAACAGCAGAUACAGAGGCAGAUCCUGAUCGCAGAGUUUCAGCGGCAGCACGAGCAGCUCUCACGCCAGCAUGAAGCGCAGCUGCAGGAGCACGUCAAGCAUCAGCAGGACCUCCUGGCCCUGAAACAUCAGCAGGAGCUCCUGGAACACCAGCGGAAGUUGGAGCGCCAUCGUCAGGAGCAGGAGCUGGAGAAACAGCAGCGGGAACAGAAGCUCCAGUUACUCAAAAACAAAGAACGCGGCCAAGAGAGCGCUGUGGCGAGCACUGAGGUGAAGAUGAGGUUGCAGGAGUUCGUCCUCAACAAGAAGAAAGCGCUGGCCCAGAGGAGCCUCAACCACUGCCUGCCCAACGACCCGCGCUACUGGUACGGGAAAACCCAGCACAGCUCCCUGGACCAGAGCUCACCGCCUCAGACAGGGAUUUCCACUUACAACCACCCGGUGCUGGGAAUGUACGACCCCAAAGAUGACUUCCCGCUCCGCAAGACGGCAUCUGAGCCCAACCUGAAGCUGCGAUCCAGGCUGAAGCAGAAAGUUACGGAGCGCAGGAGUAGCCCGCUGCUUCGGAGGAAGGAUGGUCCGAUCACCACUGCAAAGAAGCGCUCUCUGGACAUGGCAGAAUCGGCAUGCAGCAGUGCUCCUGGUUCUGGUCCGAGUUCACCCAACAACAGUUCAAACAAUAUUACCAAUGAGAACGGCAUCGCUGGAUCAAUCUCCAGCAGUCCAGUGGAGCCAUCUUUGGUGCACAGACUCACGGGCAGAGAGGGUCCUGUUAGCCAGCUGUCUCUGUACACAUCGCCCUCCCUUCCCAACAUCACCCUGGGCCUGCCAGCCACCGGCCCCUCCAGCGUGGCAUCUGGCCUACAGGAUGGUGACAGAAUGGCUGUGCCAGGCUUGCAGCCAGGAAUACCCAUAACCACUCCGUUCAUGCCAGGAGCCCACCUGCCUUCUUACCUGGCCGCGUCCACCUUAGAGCGGGAGGGUGGCUCAGCACACAACACUCUCCUGCAGCAUAUGGUACAGAACUCCCUGGUCGCAGGCCUGGGGGGCGUGCCCCUGCAGUCGCAUUCCAUCCACAAGCUCCGGCAGCAUCGGCCCCUCGGACGCACGCAGUCGGCCCCCCUGCCCCAGAAUGCCCAGGCGCUGCAGCAGCUGGUGGUUCAACAGCAACACCAGCAGUUCCUGGAAAAACACAAGCAACAGUUCCAGCAGCAGCAGCUUCACAUCAGCAAGAUGAUGGCUAAGCCGAACGAGCCGGGCCGACAGCAUGAGAGCCACCCGGAGGAGACGGAGGAGGAGCUGCGGGAGCACCAGGGCCUGGGCGACUCCACGGAGGCUCUUCCUCACGGGGUCACCAUCAAACAGGAACCUCCGGAUGAGCAGGAUGAAGAGUUCCAGCAGAGAGAGAUGCAACCCGAGGAAGAGCUGCUCUUCAGACAGCAAGCUCUCCUGUUGGAGCAACAGAGGAUCCAUCAGCUGAGGAACUUUCAGGCAUCCAUGGAAGCGGCCGGUCUGUCUGUGACCUUCCCAGGCCAUCGGCCCCUGUCCAGAGCACAAUCAUCCCCGGCCUCUGCGACCUUUCCCAUUGUGGUGCAGGAACCUCCAGCCAAACCGCGCUUUACCACCGGUCUGGUGUACGACACCCUGAUGCAGAAACACCAGUGCAUGUGUGGAAACAGUAACAACCACCCCGAACACGCCGGGCGCAUCCAGAGCAUCUGGUCACGACUGCAGGAGACGGGACUGCGCGGCCAGUGUGAGUGUAUUCGAGGCAGGAAAGCCACUCUGGAGGAGCUACAGACGGUCCACACUGAGCCUCAUGUGCUGCUUUACGGAACCAACCCUCUCAGACAGAAACUGGACAGUAAGAGCUCAGUGACACCCAUGUUCGUGAGACUGCCGUGCGGAGGAAUCGGGGUUGACAGUGACACUAUCUGGAAUGAAGUUCACUCGUCCAGUGCUGCUCGUCUGGCUGUGGGAUCUGUAGUGGAUCUGGUGUUUAAAGUGGCUUCAGGAGAGCUGAGGAACGGCUUUGCUGUGGUGCGACCUCCAGGACAUCACGCUGAGGAGAGCACUCCCAUGGGAUUUUGCUAUUUCAACUCGGUCGCCAUUGCAGCCAAACUCCUGCAGCAGAGACUCAACGUCAGUAAGAUUCUCAUUGUGGACUGGGAUGUUCACCAUGGAAAUGGGACUCAACAGGCCUUCUACAGUGACCCUAAUGUCCUGUAUGUGUCUCUCCAUCGCUACGAUGAUGGGAACUUCUUCCCUGGCAGCGGAGCCCAUGAUGAGGUGGGCAUCGGGCCAGGCAUGGGCUUUAACGUGAACAUGGCCUUCACCGGAGGUCUGGAGCCGCCCAUGGGAGACGCAGACUAUCUGGCAGCAUUCAGGACGGUGGUGAUGCCAAUUGCGAACGAGUUCGCUCCAGACGUGGUGCUGGUUUCUUCAGGCUUCGACGCUGUGGAGGGGCAUCUGCCACCUCUGGGAGGAUACAAGCUCACGGCCAAAUGUUUCGGCUACCUGACCAAGCAGCUGAUGGGACUGGCCGGCGGCCGGCUGGUGCUCGCGCUGGAGGGGGGUCACGACCUCACCGCUAUUUGCGAUGCCUCUGAAGCAUGUGUUUCUGCUUUGCUUGGAAACGAGUUGGACCCUCUUCCUGAAGACGUGCUACAACAGAGGCCGAACCCCAAUGCCAUUCACUCCAUGGAGAAAGUUCUGGAAGUCCACAGUAAAUACUGGCGCUCGCUGCAGAGAUCUGCCUCGACUCUGGGAUACUCACUGCUGGAGGCUCAGAGAUGUGAAACUGAAGAGGCAGAGACGGUGACCGCCAUGGCCUCCCUGUCUGUGGCCAACAAGCACAUGGGAAAGAGGUGCACCAUUUCUCCAGUAGAAAGUGUCACAUGA
rnacentral:lncRNA from 1 species